UAUGCAGAUCUAUGAGUCUUGAUUACAAACUACAAAAAAAAACUUUCGUGGUCAGAUGGCAUUAAGAAAGGGCAACAGAAUUUUAGCAUGGUGCCCUGGAUAAUAACUGGGAUGUCAGUCAGCACUCUGCCCCUCCCCCUCAGCCCAGGCCUAUAUAAAUUGGCAGGAAGCUGCAAAGGGCCCUAUUCUUUCUGGCAUUCUCCUUGUCUUUGACUGGGAGCACAUGGAUUACCACAGAUUGAAGGGCUGAGUAUAACGUAUGUAAGUCUCAGCAACCACAUCAAUUACAGGAUCAAGAUCACAGAUCUAGGGCAUCUGCAGAGUAAUUCCAUAGAAGACCAGGUUAUGGCACCAGAUUGUACCAUCUAAUUACAUACUAGUUGUUAUUUCAUGUUGUAUUAUUGUAGUACCACUGUGCUUUUGUUUCCACUCCACUCCAAGGCUGUCAUUUUUACUGCAAUUUGGUGCAUUUUCUGGUAGUGAGGUAUAUGUGAAGGGAUUAUACAGAUUGCAUACACUAUUUCAAAGCCAAAUUUCCUUUUCAA